rnacentral:rRNA from 1 species
GAGUUCAAGAGUACGUGAAACUGCUUAGAGGUUAAGCCCGAUGAACCUGAAUAUCCAUUAUGGAAAAUUCAUCACUAAUACUAUGAUAUUUAUAAUAUUAUAGAAAUGGUGUGCAAUUUUUCCAUAUAAGGACAUUGUAAUCUGUUAAUGUAUUAAAUAUUUAUUAAAAGAUCUUAUACAUAAGUUUAUUCAAAUUAGUUAUUUUCGGAUUUCUAACAUAGAAUAAAUGUAUUUGAUUUAAUAAAUCAUUGACAGAUUUAUAUAUAAUAUAGUGCUUAAAUUUUGAAAGAAAUUUUACAAUAAUAUGAUAAUUCAAUUUGUUAUAUUUAUUGUAUGCAUUUAUAUGAUUAACAAUGCGAUAGAUUCAGGAUACCUUCGGGACCCGUCUUGAAACACGGACCAAGGAGUCUAACAUAUGUGCAAGUCAUUGGGUAUUUUUAAUAAAACCCAAUGGCAUAAUUAACUUAACUGUUUUUUAAAUGGGAUUAGUUUAUAUUUUAUUAUGAAAUAUUAAUUCAAUCCCGGGGCGUUCUAUAUAGUUAUGCAUAAUAAUAUUUAUAUUAUUUAGUCUCNACUAAGUC